GGCAAAACAAAUCCUAUCCUCCUCCGUUCCACCUAGUCACUCACCACUGCCCAUUCUAUCCGUGUGUGCUGCUGCGCGAGGUGAGACAACAAUGGCCCUGGAGACGUGCUUCAGAGCGUGGGCGCUGCACGCCGCCCCUGCCGGCGGCAAGGACAGGCUCCUCGCCGGCGGCAGCAGCACUAGCUUCGCGCCGUCCAAGCGAGCCGCCGCCGCCGCGCCGCUGUCGGUCGGCCGCGUCGCCACACCGCGGCCGCGGCACGUCUGCCAGUCCAAGAACGCCGUGGACGAAGGUACUCCGUAAUUAAAAUAAUGCUCUGAUGUGUCAUGGCUUUUAUUGAGCCUCCGAUGGUAUGGUAUGGUAUGGUAUGGUAUGGUAUGGUAAUGGGUGAUGGCCCUGCAGUGCUGGUGGCGGACGACGCGAACUGGGAUGGGAUGGUGAUUGCGUGCGAGACGCCGGUGCUGGUGGAGUUCUGGGCGCCGUGGUGCGGGCCGUGCCGGAUGAUCGCGCCGGUGAUCGACGAGCUGGCCAAGGACUACGCCGGCAAGAUCAAGUGCUGCAAGGUGAACACCGACGACAACCCCAAGGUGGCCUCCACCUACGGCAUCCGCAGCAUCCCCACCGUCCUCAUCUUCAAGGGCGGCGACAAGAAGGAGAGCGUCAUCGGCGCCGUCCCGAAGACCACGCUCACGACCCUCAUCGACAAGUACAUCGGCAGCUAGCUCCAUCACAACGAGCAUGUCCUCAACUGGGAUUCAUGACCAUCGACUUAAAUACAUACGUGCCCGUGCUCCCGCACAUACGCCAUCAUGUAUCUCUUGUUGCAUACGGAUGAUGCGAUGCGUUAAUUCAGGCAGCAGUCUGCUACUGCUCUCGGUUAUACUAUGUCCAAUCCAAG
rnacentral:lncRNA from 1 species